AUACGGAGGGUGCAAGCGUUAUUCGGAAUCACUUAGCGUAAAGGACGCGUAGGCGGGUUGGCAAGUCAGAUGUGAAAUCCUACAGCUUAACUGUAGAACUGCAUUUGAAACUGCUAACCUAGAGUAUGGGAGGGGGAGAUGGAAUUAGUGGUGUAGGGGUAAAAUCCGUAGAUAUCACUAGGAAUACCGAAAGCGAAGGCGAUCUCCUGGAACAUAACUGACGCUAAGGCGUGAAAGCGUGGGGAGCAAACAGGAUUAGAUACCCCAGUAGUCC
rnacentral:rRNA from 1 species